rnacentral:miRNA from 2 species
UAGCAGCACAUCAUGAUUUGUA